GACGUAGGAUGCAAGCGUUGUCCGGAUUUAUUGGGCGUAAAGAGUUCGUAGGCUGUUUGUUAAGUCUGAUGUUAAAGACUGGGGCUCAACCUCGGAAAUGCAUUGGAUACUGGCAGACUGGAGUGCAGUAGAGGCUAGUGGAAUUCCCAGUGCAGCGGUGAAAUGCGUAGAUAUUGGGAAGAACACCGGUGGCGUAGGCGACUAGCUGGGCUGUAACUGACGCUGAGGAACGAAAGCCAGGGGAGCGAAUGGG
rnacentral:rRNA from 1 species